UUCUUAUCCAGAGAGGCGGAGGGACUGGCCCGAUGAUGCCCGGCAACCAAUCACCUGCAUGUUCGUUCAUGCGGGGAGAUAAUGGUGCUAAUUCCUGCAGAGUUUUUUAACUCUGAAAGAUGAGAA
rfam:Brevibacillus sp. CF112 PMI08_contig_120.120, whole genome shotgun sequence.